GAAUCCAAAACAGAGCAAGUGGAGCCCACUGGGAGCUAAUGAACAGCUCUGUUCUAGUAAGGGAGCAGCUGUCUGCAUAAACAAGUGACUAACCCUGUCCCCAGGUGGGUUGUACCUCCUCCUGCUCAGCUCCAGCCAUUUGGUAAGAAGUACAUCUUCAUAUCCUCAAAACUACCUUACACUGCAGGUGUACACUCUGUGCUUACCUUGAAUGUGUGUGGGGAACAGUUUUUAAACAACUUCCCCCCCAAGAGAACCUUUUAGGUACUUAUGUACAAGAGGAAAUGCCAGGUCUUCUGAAACAUUCGUUGAAAUCCCCAUUAAUAGUAUAAUAUUGACCUAUGGAUGAAAUUCCCAUUACAAAGAAAAUCAAGUUUUACAAAACAAAGCAGCCCUACAUCAGUCCAUUAGCAACACAAGCAGUAAAAAAUUUGGAGCGUUUACAUAACACAAAUUACAGAUGUAAGAUAUUUAUUUAAUUUGACUUAAAAUUCUAAACCCACUGUUGUCAAAAUACAGCUUCUCUUUCAAGGCUAAUGAGAAAUGUGCCUAUUUUUAGCAUGUCAGUAGUCAGAUAAAAAAGUGGAAAUGAAAGCCUGUAUUGUCGUGGUCCUCAAGCAUCAUCAGGUCUCCCCAUAAAACAAAAGGUGGAGUAGUAGAGCACUGAAAAUGUCUUCACAGGUAAUUGCAAGUUAACUAAUUCCACAGGAUCAUCAGAACUGGGCUGAUGUAUUGAGUCAAUCUCUGUCCCCUGCCCUGCAUAAGCAGCACAAGUGUCAGUGCUUGUCUGGCUGCAUUGAGAUGUGUGUCUAUUAAUGUAUGUAUUCACCGGGGAGGGGAGGCUGCACUUUCUAAGGAGAAAUUUCACACAGAGAUUUCUUUUUAAUAUAUACCCACAAGCUCAUUUGAACAUCAUCAGCAAUGUAAGUUACAGCUGUCUUGAAGUUAAACCAAAGCUUUAAUCUUUUUAAAAGCAUGGGUUUCCUACAUAGUCUCUAAAGUAUAAUCUUUGGAGAUACAUUAUUAUAAGCCUAUUUAUCAUUCAAAGCAUAUUAGCUGUUCCUUGUAUAGUACUACUUGUUAGUAGGAUUUUUAAAAAUAAGACUUUUCUUUACACAAACCCUGUAGCAAUUCAGAUGAACACUCUGAUUAAAAGAAAAAGAGCUUCCUAAUUAAUAGUCUUGCUGAUUCUCCCUAUAGCUUAAUUAAAAUAAACAAGCAGCAGAAUUUUAAUAUGAGCAUUUCUAAUAAGAUUUUUUUUAAUCAGCUCAUUUUACUCCUAAUACUUCUAGCAGAAAGUGGCUUAUUUCUCAUUAGGCUUUCUCAUUAGGCUUUUUCAUAGGGCUGAAUCCUUCACUUGUCCUGUUAGGGUAAUUACAGACAUAUGUACAAGUUUACCACAAAGAUUGUGAAGUCCUAAAGGGGAUACAUUAAUUCGUUUACUUAAAUUAAAUGUAAGCCUGCUUUACCUUUGGGAAACUGCUUAUUUUUGCAAAAAGAAAUAUGGAAACCAAUGACAAAUUAAUUCAAAUAAACUGCAAAUAUGCUUAAUAUUAAUUUUCUGUUAUAGGCCUUUGACUUAGUUAUUUUAACUGGUACCAUUUAGUAUGUAAAUCAAAUGUUAUUUACUGGCUGAUUUAACAUUUAAUGUUUCUAAUGUAAGCCAUUCUUACUAAAUUAAGA
rnacentral:lncRNA from 1 species